rnacentral:rRNA from 1 species
UACGAAGGGGGCUAGCGUUGUUCGGAAUUACUGGGCGUAAAGCGCGCGUAGGCGGUGAUCUUUGUCAGAGGUGGAAAGCCCGGGGCUCAACCCCGGAAGUUGCCUUUGAAACGGGAUCGCUUGAGUCCGAGAGAGGGAUGGCGGAAUUCCUAGUGUAGAGGUGAAAUUCGUAGAUAUUAGGAAGAACACCGGUGGCGAAGGCGGCCAUCUGGCUCGGUACUGACGCUCAGGCGCGAAAGCGUGGGGAGCGAACAGG